rnacentral:lncRNA from 1 species
AGGAAACAGUCACAAGAGGCCAAUCUAGGAUCAAACUAAAGAGGCAAGUUGAAUCAAGACUCGUCCCAGUGAGGAUAUAACUCAAUGGGGACUCCCAUCCCAAUAUAUGUGUUGGGGAGGAAACAGAAACAACCAUCAUCCACGAGGCUAUAACUCGGUGGGGAAUAUGGAAGGAAAGAUAAACACUUUCUGCUUAAGGGG